rnacentral:rRNA from 1 species
GACGAACGCUGGCGGCGUGCUUAACACAUGCAAGUCGAACGGAGUGGCGAACGGGUGAGUAACACGUGGGUGACCUGCCCUGCACUUCGGGAUAAGCCUGGGAAACUGGGUCUAAUACCGGAUAGUGUGGGAUGGGCGGGGGGCCUAUCAGCUUGGUGGGGGGGUAAUGGCCUACCACGGCGGGGACGGGUAGCCGGCCUGGGCGGGGGGGCGGCCUCAUUGGGACUGAGGCACGGCGCAGACGGCUACGGUGGGCAGUGGGGGGGAAUAUGGCGCAAUGGGCGGACGUCUGAUGCGGCGGCGCCGCGUGGGGGAUGACGGUUUUCGGGGUGGAAACGCCUUUCACCAUCGACGCGGUAGAUGGAGAAGAAGCACCGGCUAACUACGUGCCAGCAGCCGCGGUAAUAC